AUGAACGACGCCACUGCCUUCGGCUGCCUGCGCGCCACCGCUCCCCUUGUAGCAUGUGCUCGUUGCUGCCAGCCAAUUCCUCUCGCAGAUGUUGUUGAAGUAGAAAUGUGCAGCUUGAGAGCCGCCCGUGCUAAGUGGCAAAACACAAGGAUGUACGCUCCAGUAGAGCAACAUACGAGUGAGUUCAAUUUGAGUUUGCUUUUCAGUCAUAUUCUACGGCCGAAUGUUAUCGUAACAUUCUACUUUAACCCAUUGUUUUCUCAACCUCCUGUUUCUCACCCUGUGACACAGGUUCAAUUUCAAGUUUGGCAGAUGUUUCAGUUCAAACAUUUUUCAAUCAAGUACAACAAGUAUUUUCAGUCUAGGAAGAUUUGGUUAGGCAAAGCAGAAACCAUGUUCAACACUGCUUCUUUUUCUGUUUUAGACUAG
rnacentral:rRNA from 1 species